UACCCCAUAGCCAAGUUGGUAAGGCAUAGGUUUCUGGUACCUACAUGCGCUGGUUCGAAUCCAGCUGGGGUAA
rnacentral:tRNA from 1 species